rnacentral:lncRNA from 10 species
AAAUUUCUCAGUAGUUUGGCAUAGCCUUCAAAAUGCAGCCUAAAAGCCAUGGGUUGCACCAUUCAUGUCUUCCAGCCUUUUCCUAUAAUACUUCAGAUUGCACACCCACUUCUGUGAACUCUUUCAUCCCCCGGGCUUCUAUACGUGCUAUUCCCACUGCUUAUAACACUCUUCCCUAUCGCAUAUUUCUAUUUAACCCCCACUCAUCUUUCAAACACAGUAAAAACAAAUUUCUUUUCUGGAAUCUAUUCACUGAGCCCAGCCCAUGCCUGGGGCUUCUUCCUCAUGAUUCCUGCUGAGUUCCCACAACACCCAGUACAUACCUUUAUCGU